UUUUAAUUUUUUAAAAAAUAUAUUAUAUUUUUUAAAAAAUUUUAUUGGGGGGAUAAAAAAAUUUUUUUAACUUUUUUAAAUUAAUUCAUUAAUUUAUGUAUUAGAUUAUCUUUAAUUUAAAAAUAAAAAUUAAAA
rnacentral:rRNA from 1 species